GUUGACCAAACAAUAAAACCAGCAGAUAUCUUGACUUGCCACUCAGUAUAUCAGUAAUGUUCAGAAUAGUACUUUAAUAUCAUUGGAGAUUGAUGGUCUUUUUAAUCCACUAUCCAGAGUCAGGAACAGAUGAAGUUAGGUCUGCUACUGUUCAGUGAUUAAAUAUGAUUUAUGGUGAUGGGAAAUAAUAAAAAACACUCAACUUCAUCUAGUAAUAGUUUUCCUUUGUUAUUUAUUCCAAGGUGUGUCUUUAACUUGUAAAUGUAUUGUGUGGAGGUGAGCUAGUGGUGUGGCUGAUAGAAUAGAAUGAAAAGGGAGGAGGGGAGGAAGAGGGGAGGAGUGAAGGGCUGUUGAAGAAACCAGAUGAGGAAGAGGAAGAUGUUCCCUAUUCCCUACGUAGUGCACUACGGUGCUUCUGACCAGGUCUAAAGUAGUGUUCUACGUAGGGAAUAGGGUGUAGAUUUAUUACAAUAUCAUGCUUUAGUGUUUGGCACAGAAAUAUAUUAGAUCUCCACCCCCCACUUCCUGUCUGUCAUCCCCCAGUUCUGUUAAGACUUCCUCUCAUUGAACUGGGCCUCAUUCUGAAUGGUCACUUUGUAUUGAUAGUCCAUACUGGUCUUUACUAUGGUUCUACAUACAGUACCUGUAUUGAUAGUCCAUACUGGUCUUUACUAUGGUUCUACAUACAGUAUCUGUAUUGAUAGUCCAUACUGGUCUUUACUAUGGUUCUACAUACAGUACCUGUAUUGAUAGUCCAUACUGGUCUUUACUAUGGUUCUACAUACAGUAUCUGUAUUGAUAGUCCAUACUGGUCUUUACUAUGGUUCUACAUACAGUACCUGUAUUGAUAGUCCAUACUGGUCUUUACUAUGGUUCUACAUACAGUACCUGUAUUGAUAGUCCAUACUGGUCUUUACUAUGGUUCUACAUACAGUAUCUGUACCUGGCGGGGUUCUACUCACAUGUUCCUUCAUCUCUACAACUUUAUCUGGUUCUCUCCCACUUCCCUUCCAUCUCUCCUUUCUAAGUGUGAACUUGUCCACUUCCCUUCGUGGAUUUAAAGGAGAUGACUGGUUUAUGUAAACUCACUCUACCCCAUGUCAACACCAAUCCAAUGCUUUUACAUUUGUGAGGAGUAGAGAAGGAAUGUUCCACUUCAGAAGGAAGGAGAGAUUAUUGGGUCUCCCCCAUGGAGUGAUGAUAGAGGGAUGUGAAAGAGGAGAGAGGUAAUGGUUGUACUCCCCCAUGGAGUGAUGAUAGAGGGAUGUGAAAGAGGAGAGAGGUAAUGGUUGUACUCCCCCAUGGAGUGAUGAUAGAGGGAUGUGAAAGAGGAGAGAGGUAAUGGUUGUACUCCCCCAUGGAGUGAUGAUAGAGGGAUGUGAAAGAGGAGAGAGGUAAUGGUUGUACUCCCCCAUGGAGUGAUGAUAGAGGGAUGUGAAAGAGGAGAGAGGUAAUGGUUGUACUCCCCCAUGGAGUGAUGAUAGAGGA